rnacentral:lncRNA from 1 species
UGGUCUCGUCCGCCUCCGCCGCCUUCCUGCCAGUCUACCACUUUCUCACCCAGGGAGGCCUAGAACGCGAGCCACAUUCGCCCCCGGCCCUGACCCCAGGCGCGACUGCAGAGCCUCCCGAGCGGGACCGGUCUUCCGAGUGGACGGUUAGGCCACGGGUAUUCAAGCGCUGCGAGUUCGCCAGCCUUAUUGUAGCGGCCAGGCCUGAAGGGCUAGGCCACCGCUGAACUACAUUUCCCAGCAGGCAACGCGGCCGCAGUUUCGCUUCCAAAGGGAGGAAGCUAUUCCCCAUGUCAUGAAGACCCCAUGGAGACAGCCAUGUGUUGAGGAACACAGCGUCCUGCCAGCAGCCAGCACCCACUUGCCAGCCUCUCCAUGGAUUUCUCACUCCGCAUGGUAGAUAGAAGUACUGACUUUAAUUAUCACCAUCCAGGAAGUACUUUUCACCUGAGGAGAUGCUCAGUCAACCUAGCAAAGUGAAAGUGGGAGGAGCAGAGAAGGAAGAAGGAGAGGAGGAGGCAGCAGCUAAGAAGAGUGCAGAGAGAGGGAGAGUUGGAGCACAGUCAUGGAGGCAUUUGUUGAAAUGGAGGUGCCAAAAGAUUGAAGAGAUGUGGAUUGCUGACCCACUGCAUGAAGGUGGUUGCCCUACAGAGUCACCUGGACCUGCACUGACUUGGUAUAAAGCCCUUCAUCACCUACUGCUCUCAAAUCCCAAGGAUCGACAGGCCGUGUCUUCGUAUCUAAGUUUGGAAAGAACCCAGCUCUAUGAGGUUUGAUCUGUUUUGUUUGUGGAUGAGGAAGCAAGCACAAGGAGUAAAGUGGCCAAGGUGACAUGACCAUGAAUUAUCAGAAUCCAG